rnacentral:lncRNA from 1 species
UUCAAGAGAACAAAAAUUGCCUUUAUUUAUUUGAGGGAAACUAAAUCACAACAAAACCCAAAACCACUAUGAGGGAUUCCAGCAAUAAUUUAAUAGUUGAAAGCAUGGCAUUAUUUUGGAAGUGAAAAAAAUAAAAUAAAAAAUAGUCUUAAAAAGGAAAUCCAAAUGGCUAGUUGAUAUGUAAAAAGGUCCUCAACAGCGUCAGUAAUCAGGGAGAUGCAAUUUAAAACUACAAUGACACACUACCACACACUCACCAGACAGGCAAAACUAAAGAGUGAGGGUGUAGUUGAGGGUGUGGAGCAAGGGGAUUCAUACAUGGUUGGUGUGAGUAUAACACUUUAGAAAACAGCUUGGCGUUAUUUAUUCAAGUUUAUGACACACAUUACCACUCCCAGGUAUAUACUAUACAGAAACUGAUAUAGAUGUGAUGGAAUACAUCUAUGAAGAAUGUUCACAGCACCAUUUAUAACAGCCCCAAACUGGAAACAACCUAGACGUCCAUCAACAAUAGAACAGCUAAAUAAAUUAUGGCAUAUUGCUACAAUGGAACACUGUAAUAUGCAGCAAUUAAAAUGAACAAAUUACAGCUAUAUGAACCCGAACAACAUACGGAUUAAAAAUGAUGUUGAGCAAAAGCAGUAAGCACAACAGAUUACAUAUUAUGUUGUUCCAUUUAAUAAAGUUCAAAAGAAAGGGCAAAACUAAACAACAUAUUGUUUAGGGAUGCACGCUCGUGACAAAACAAUAGAGAAAAACAAGGAAAUGAUUAUCACAAAAGUUAGAUGGUCAACUCUAAAAGGGAGGGAGAGUUGUGUUCAAGAAGGUCACUGGGGGGGCUUCUGGGGUGCUGGCAAUGUUCCAUUUCUUGACCUGGUGAGUCACACUGAGGUUUCUUUCAUAAUUACUCAUUAUACUGAUUAACUGCUUUAUGCAUUUCAAUGUAUAUUUCACAAUAAAAAUGCGAAAGUAAUUGAAUAUUGUAGAUAGCAUUUCUAGAAAGAAAUUUUGCCAGAUAAUUUAGCUUAUGAAAUCUUUGACAGUAAAAACCACCGAUGUGGGACAAUAAAACUGAUUAAACAGACUCUCACAAGAGCUCGCUUUCAAGCGUAGGAGAAAAGAACCCUAGGCAAAUAUCCCUUUGUUAUAUUUUAACAGAGUAUGCAGAUCUUUAUCACAAACAAAUUGAAGCAGGGAAAGAACUCUGUUACCUAAAACUUCAGAAUUUUGAAUGAAUGGUUCUCUCCUCUGGAUUAAUAAGAAAUAAAAGAACUAAAGAGAUGCAGACCAAGUUGGAAAUGCAUGAACUUCCUCCUCUCCAGUCACCAGUCCCAGCUGUUUCCUCCAGUUAGCAUGCUGGGUGGUGAGGUGGGUGGAUCUUGCCCAGUAAGCUUAGCGCAGCUGUUCCUUCGUAAGUAGGUGGCUGAGGGCUCUCCUGAGUGCCAUUCUGUCUCAGCACUAAGGUUCUAAGGUGGAGCCACUGACAAUGAAACCAAAUCAGGCUGCUGAAAAACCAAACGUGGCACACACUUUUCUGGAGGCGUCCUCUGCUGGGCUUCAGAGCUCUGGUGUUUGCUCUCUUUUUAUCUAAAGCCGACAGAAUUUAAAAUCUGAGGUGCUCAGCUUCACAAAAUCCCCUAUAUCUGUGCACUUUACUCCUUCGAUUUCCACCAGCAAAUUAGGAAAAGGGACAAAACUAAAAAAAAUUAUUUUGUAGCCAUAUUGGGCCAUCACUUAGUGGUUUGAUUCCCUAUGAAUCUUAUUUGGAAGGACAUGGCAGGGGAUUGGUCAUGAAAAGACAGUCAAAUCCAGGGUAGUUUAAGCAGGAUAGUUAACCCGGGUCUUGGAACUUUGGAUCAAGGGCAGGCAGGCAGGUGCUACUUUGUGAGUCUCUUCUCACUUGUGCAAUACCCUCCUCCCACCUCCAUCACUUUUUCUGCAGUAUUUUAAUAAAAACGAGCCCUUCGAUUUACCCAGUUAGAAGUUUCCUAGGUCUACUGUUUGCCGAUGGUGGUGGCAGUAAUGGUAGAAACCUAGAGUCUCCCAAAUCUGACUAUAAACACUUGCUCCUUAACCCCUGAGGUGGAAAGACUUGUAAAAUCCAUUACUGCCGUCUGUAGAGGAGGCAGGGUGUGCCAGGGUCCAGCGACAGAACGGUGGAAUCUGCUUCCUUUCAUCGUUGCUGCUGCUUUUAUCUCAUUCUCACACUAUUCACCAGAACAGGUUCAAGCCAGAUUUCUGAGGAUUUUGGUCUUUUUAUCUUAAAAUUUCUUUUCUUAGAGAACUAUACUUUCAACUUCAUGAGUUUUUACUUGAAUUUACUUUCCAGGAUAACAUCUGUAGGAAAAGCUGCAUAAUAGUAAUAAUAUUUAUUUUAGAAAGGAAAUAGCCUUUGAGUCAGACCUGAAACACAGGCCAAAAUUUCUUGACGACGGUAAUGGACACUGAUUAACCACCAAGACCAGUUCUCCAAAGCUUCAAACGGCAAGCAAGAACGAUUCCUAAAAGUGAGGCACUACUAAAGUCUCCCCUGAAAAACAGCCAAAAAUCCUUCCACAAUCUCAGGCAGGAUGGCUCCCUUCCCUCACCCCGGCAAUUCGUCUCCUUUUUCACUAAAGACUCAGGUUGUGACUCAAGCCGCACCCCCAUUUCCUUUCUCGGGAGGGGGCGGGGAGAGAAGAGAUGUAUUACAACUCUAGUCUUCACAAGGCUAUGCAGUUUACAAAGCGCUUGCAUUUCCAUCAACACCUCUGAGCUCCGGGAGUGCCACGUGAGGGAGGCAUUCAUUCAUUCACCAAACAUUUGCUCCGCCCGACCACACGUUAUCGGGCGCUGGGUCUCACCCCACACCUCGGGAAGGGUGGGGUGCGCGCUCUCUGGAGCAGGUGCAGAGGAUCAGGCUGCAGGACAACUCCUCGCUCAGUCCGGCUUUUCGAAGGCCCGUUUGGGGCCAAUUGCCUCACCUUCGGGUUGUGCGCCCGAGCAUGGCCGCGCGGCCUGGGCCUCCUCCUUGCUCCCAAAGGAGCAGUCACCACCUGCCCUGAAGGAAACCGCUAAGAGCAAGCUCUCUCCGCCGCCCUCGGGUCAGGGGUAAGAUCAGGCGGCAGCUUAGGCUCCACUCGGCUCCUCCCCUUCCUCUCUUCAGUUCUGACGCGGCCGUAGAGGCGGCGGCAGCGGCGGCGAGUCCCGCGGCCCGAGUCGCACCCACCCGCUCGCCGAACCCCGAC